AAUUAUUUAAAAAGUUAAAAUGAGCAAACAAGUAUAUAUAGAUAAUUUUUUUUAAUCAAAUAUAUUUUUUUCUCUUAAUUAAUUUAUUUUCUCUUUAAAUUAAAGAGAAAAUAAUAAAUAUAAAAUAAACAUUAUUUUCUUUUCGUUCAAUAUUUUCCUUUAGAAAAGUGACAAUUUUACUUUAUUUUCUACCAUUUAUUUUCUUUCCCUUUCCCCGAUCAAAGGCUUAAGUUCCACAACUUCGGGGUUGAAAAUUGUCACAACACAAGGAACAAAAAUGUCCGGAUAACAAAUGGACAGCAAACUUAGAAUAAGAAUAUGUCCAACGGCGUAGUGACAGUGAGGUAAUCACCUUGUCUAAAAUUCAUUGGUGG
rnacentral:misc_RNA from 1 species